UACGUAGGGGGGCUAGCGUUGUCCGGAAUCAUUGGGCGUAAAGAGCGUGUAGGCGGCCCGGUAAGUCCGCUGUGAAAGUCGGGGGCUCAACCCUGGGAUGCCGGUCGAUACUGCCGGACUAGAGUUCGGAAGAGGCGAGUGGAAUUCCCCGGUGUAGCGGUGAAAUGCGCAGAUAUCGGGGAGGAACACCUAUGGCGAAGGCAGCUCGCUGGGACGUUUACUGACGCUGGAGACGCGAAAAGCGUGGGGGGAGCAAAACAGG
rnacentral:rRNA from 1 species